UAACCAGACUCCUACGGGAGGCAGCAGUGGGGGAUAUUGCACAAUGGGGGAAACCCUGAUGCAGCGAUGCCGCGUGAAUGAAGACGGCCUUCGGGUUGUAAAGUUCUGUCGCAGGGGACGAAAAUGACGGUACCCUGCAAGAAAGCUCCGGCUAACUACGUGCCAGCAGCCGCGGUAAUACGUAGGGAGCAAGCGUUGUCCGGAAUUACUGGGCGUAAAGGGAGCGUAGGCGGGAGGAUAAGUUGAAUGUGAAAUCUAUGGGCGCAACCCAUAACCUGCUGUUGAAACUGUUUUUCUUGAGUGAAGCAGAGGCAAGCGGAAUUCCUAGUGUAGCGGUGAAAUGCGUAGAUAUUAGGAGGAACACCAGAGGCGAAGGCGACUCACUGGACUGUAACUGACGCUGAGGCUCGAAAGCGUGGGGAGCAAACAGGAUUAGAUACCCUGGUACCU
rnacentral:rRNA from 1 species